UACGUAGGGUGCGAGCGUUGCCCGGAUUUAUUGGGCGUAAAGGGCGCGUAGGCGGUCACGCACGUCCGUUGUGAAAUCGCUCGGCUCAACUGGGCGGGGUCAGCGGAUACGGUGUGACUGGAGCAAGCUAGGGGGCAAUGGAAUUCCCGGUGUAGUGGUGGAAUGCGCAGAUAUCGGGAAGAACACCCGUGGCGAAGGCGGCUCUCUGGGACGGUACUGACGCUGAGACGCGAAAGCGUGGGGAGCGAACAGG
rnacentral:rRNA from 1 species